rnacentral:lncRNA from 1 species
UUUUUUUUAAAUAAUCGUGCCUAGAUCCCCAGCAAUGGUGCCAAAAUUUGAUCGCUGUCGUAGGCGGUCAAGAAUAAAAAUCAACUCAAAUUAUAUAGAUAGGAUGAGUAGGGAUCGUUUCCAUGGAGAUCUAGGGCGAUUAUCUUUUUUUUUUUUUAGAAGAGAUAAAAAGUGAAUUGAUUGCAGAAGGAUUAACAAAAAAUAGAAUAGUAAAAAAAAUCAACAGUGUAAAUUAAAUUAUGAAAGAAA